rnacentral:rRNA from 1 species
AUUGAACGCUGGCGGCAGGCUUAACACAUGCAAGUCGAGCGGGGGAAGGUAGCUUGCUACUGGACCUAGCGGCGGACGGGUGAGUAAUGCUUAGGAAUCUGCCUAUUAGUGGGGGACAACAUCUCGAAAGGGAUGCUAAUACCGCAUACGUCCUACGGGAGAAAGCAGGGGAUCUUCGGACCUUGCGCUAAUAGAUGAGCCUAAGUCGGAUUAGCUAGUUGGUGGGGUAAAGGCCUACCAAGGCGACGAUCUGUAGCGGGUCUGAGAGGAUGAUCCGCCACAAUGGGACUGAGACACGGCCCAGACUCCUACGGGAGGGAGCAGUGGGGAAUAUUGGACAAUGGGGGGAACCCUGAUCCAGCCAUGCCGCGUGUGUGAAGAAGGCCUUAUGGUUGUAAAGCACUUUAAGCGAGGAAGAGGCUACUUUAGUUAAUACCUAGAGAUAGUGGACGUUACUCGCAGAAUAAGCACCGGCUAACUCUGUGCCAGCCGCCGCCGUAA